rnacentral:rRNA from 1 species
UGGGGAAUUUUGGACAAUGGGCGCAAGCCUGAUCCAGCCAUGCCGCGUGCAGGAAGAAGGCCUUCGGGUUGUAAACUGCUUUUGUCAGGGAAGAAAUCCUUUGGGCUAAUACCCCGGAGGGAUGACGGUACCUGAAGAAUAAGCACCGGCUAACUACGUGCCAGCAGCCGCGGUAAUACGUAGGGUGCGAGCGUUAAUCGGAAUUACUGGGCGUAAAGCGUGCGCAGGCGGCUUUGCAAGACAGAUGUGAAAUCCCCGGGCUCAACCUGGGAACUGCAUUUGUGACUGCAAGGCUAGAGUGCGGCAGAGGGAGAUGGAAUUCCGCGUGUAGCAGUGAAAUGCGUAGAUAUGCGGAGGAACACCGAUGGCGAAGGCAAUCUCCUGGGCCUGCACUGACGCUCAUGCACGAAAGCGUGGGGAGCAAACAGGAUUAGAUACCCUGGUAGUCCACGCCCUAAACGAUGUCAACUGGUUGUUGGACGGCUUGCUGUUCAGUAACGAAGCUAACGCGUGAAGUUGACCGCCUGGGGAGUACGGCCGCAAGGUUGAAACUU